rnacentral:sRNA from 1 species
GCUUUUUAGUCUCCUCCAUGGAUGAACAACCUGAUUGAUUAUCUAUUACCAAAUGGUCAGCCCUAAAAACAUACCUUCAGGCAACACUAAAGAUACUCAACAUGCUGUAUUGAGUCUUUUCUUCAUAAGCCAAAUCCUAGAAGCCAUGUCCUCUAUAACAGCAGAAGUGCAGCAGGCCAAGAUGAUAGAAACUGAAGAAGCAUGUUGAAUGCCACAUGCCCUGGCUUUUGCUGCUAGGAAACUGGGAACAGCAGGAAGCCAUGUUGCAUCACAUUCACACUUGAAACAAAACAGGAAGAAGUUCUACCGCCUCGAAGCACGUAUAAACAAGCAGAGACAACUCUUCUACUCUCUUCAGUGUCCUGCGUCUAUACAACCCAAGACAAUGGCUCCCCUCGGAGUACUGUGAGUCCUCUGUACUGAAUAAUGCCUCUUCAUUUUGGGAACUACCUGCUCCCCCAGGAGACCCAAGGCUCUCCAAGGUAUCACCUGUGGAAAAGGAUCAUUUUUGCCUGAGCAUAAUCAAAUGCAUAUGCAUGUACACAUACAUAUACAUGAGACUUGGUUAUUAUAAAGAAGAGGAAAAGUAUAUACCCUAACAAUCUCAUAUGCCUAGAUCUAUAAUCCUUUCACCUUCUUUCUAACACUUUUCAUUCUCCUCUUUACAACAGAUGAUUGACCACAAACAAGCUUUACCACAUUUAACUUCUCAUUACUGUUUCUGUGCAUAAGCCUCAUUUGCUAUUUUAUACAAUAAAAAGAUCCCAAACAUUUAGUUGCACUGCUUUCCAAACAACUCCCUAAAAGAAAUAUGGCCCCUGAGUAAAAGAAAUAACGAUCUCUGAUAUGGUUUGUAGUUCUCUUGUAAAGGUCUCCUAGAGUCACUCAACAAAUACCAAGUAUCAAGUAAAAAGAUGAAGGAAGAAUAUUUUAGACUAUGACCUCUGCAUCGUAACAGCGUGCCCUUUGCUGCUUCAUUCAGGAAGGAUGACAAUAGGAGCUAGGGCCUAGCUGCUGGGUAAAACCAAACCUCUGUGCUCCCCAGCCUCUAUUCUUUUGCAGUGACAUUCAGCCAAGGUGCAUAGACCUUAAUGCGGGUACUCUGACUGCCAGCCAUGGCUGCCCUACAUGGUGCAUGAGUGUUGUAUCAGGC